rnacentral:rRNA from 1 species
ACUCCUACGGGAGGCAGCAGUGGGGAAUAUUGCACAAUGGGCGCAAGCCUGAUGCAGCCAUGCCGCGUGUAUGAAGAAGGCCUUCGGGUUGUAAAGUACUUUCAGCAGUGAGGAAGGUGGGUAUGUUAAUAGCAUACUCAUUUGACGUUAGACUGCAGAAGAAGCACCGGCUAACUCCGUGCCAGCAGCCGCGGUAAUACGGAGGGUGCGAGCGUUAAUCGGAAUUACUGGGCUAAAGCGCAUGCAGGUGGUUGUUAAGUCAGAUGUGAAAGCCCGGGGCUCAACCUCGGAAUUGCAUUUGAAACUGGCAAACUAGAGUACUGUAGAGGGGGGUAGAAUUUCAGGUGUAGCGGUGAAAUGCGUAGAGAUCUGAAGGAAUACCGGUGGCGAAGGCGGCCCCCUGGACAGAUACUGACACUCAGAUGCGAAAGCUGGGGAGCAAACAGGAUUAGAUACCCUGGUAGG